rnacentral:lncRNA from 1 species
GCAACCGUCAUCAGUUCGGAUACGUUUGAUCCAAAAUCUCAACUGGAUGUUUCAAAGCCACUUCAAUCUGCUGUGGGACUUAGCACUUCAGUUAUUUGUCAUCACACACUUCUUCAGUACUCCUUGUUACCAAAGUUCUUGCACCAGAGUUGUGAAGGAAUGGGGCGAACAGGCUGAUGAGGCCAUUGCUGCAAGAAAGCGGAAUUCUGUCAACCUCUAGUCGGGAAACCAGACAGCAGAAUUUUCUCGAGCUAGAGGUCAUUCGGUCCAAAUGUCUCAUCAAGCUAGUGAUGCAAAUACAACAAAUAGAAUAACAUCUAGUUCCGGCUGGAAUUUACAUAGAGAAGGCUGUCGACGAUGAAGAAGCACAACAAUGACUCACGGGCAUACGUACCUUCGAGUUUAUUCACAAAAAUGCGUACAGGCAGGAACUACGUGAAGGGAAAAUCUCAGACAAACAAUAACAAGAAAUAUUAGAACAUGAUUUUCAAAUGCAUCAGGAGACUAUCCAUUAAGACAGGAAAAAGUCAUCUAUUGCUAUUAGUUUUCUGUAGGUACGAGUUCUCCAAACUUUCGUCAGUCUGAAUAUGAUUAAAGCUCUUCCAUUUUCAGGGAUCGGGUUCAUGGAUACUCUUCAGCAUUCCACCCCAUUUCCAUGAAGUUGCAUUUCACAACACUUCUUUUCUAACUAUAUGACAUGAAAGGGAAUUUAGGCAACCAAUCUUGUUUGUUUGCUUCCAAUUAAUCAAGACAGCGACAUUCCAACGAAAAGAAAACAGCUUUGGAAAACUCAGCCAUAGCUUGCCUUUGUUAUGCCGAGUAGCUUGUUAACAAUUGAAGUACUUUACUAUACUAAGGGUUAGUGUUUAUCUUCCAUGGAUGAUUGCACAGGAAGGUGCGGUAUCUUUU